GAACGGUAGCACAGAGAGCUUGCUCUUGGGUGACGAGUGGCGGACGGGUGAGUAAUGUCUGGGAAACUGCCCGAUGGAGGGGGAUAACUACUGGAAACGGUAGCUAAUACCGCAUAACGUCUUCGGACCAAAGCGGGGGACCUUCGGGCCUCACACCAUCGGAUGUGCCCAGAUGGGAUUAGCUAGUAGGUGGGGUAAUGGCUCACCUAGGCGACGAUCCCUAGCUGGUCUGAGAGGAUGACCAGCCACACUGGAACUGAGACACGGUCCAGACUCCUACGGGAGGCAGCAGUGGGGAAUAUUGCACAAUGGGCGCAAGCCUGAUGCAGCCAUGCCGCGUGUAUGAAGAAGGCCUUCGGGUUGUAAAGUACUUUCAGCGGGGAGGAAGGCGAUACGGUUAAUAACCGUAUCGAUUGACGUNACCCGCAGAAGAAGCACCGGCUAACUCCGUG
rnacentral:rRNA from 1 species